rnacentral:rRNA from 1 species
ACGCUCGACACCUACGGGAGGAGCAGUGGGGAAUAUUGCACAAUGGGGGAAACCCUGAUGCAGCGACGCCGCGUGAGUGAAGAAGUAUUUCGGUAUGUAAAGCUCUAUCAGCAGGGAAGAAAAUGACGGUACCUGAGUAAGAAGCCCCGGCUAACUACGUGCCAGCAGCCGCGGUAAUCUGAGCGGGCUGGCAAGGC